GAUGAACGCUGGCGGCGCGCCUAAUACAUGCAAGUCGAGCGAGAAGACGUAGCAAUACGUUUGUAAAGCGGCGAACGGGUGAGGAAUACAUGGGUAACCUACCCUUGGGUGGGGAAUAACUAGCCGAAAGGUUAGCUAAUACCGCGUACGCUUCUUGGACUUCGGUUCAGGGAGGAAAGCGAUGCCGAGGGUAUCGCGCUCUUGGAUGGGCUCAUGUCCUAUCAGCUUGUUGGUGAGGUAACGGCUCACCAAGGCUUCGACGGGUAGCUGGUCUGAGAGGACGAUCAGCCACACUGGCACUGCGACACGGGCCAGACUCCUACGGGAGGCAGCAGUAAGGAAUAUUGCGCAAUGGGCGAAAGCCUGACGCAGCGACGCCGCGUGGGGGAU
rnacentral:rRNA from 1 species